rnacentral:other from 1 species
UUUGCCCUGCGGUGUUCGUGAUUCCGAAACAAAGUCCUUGAACCGUAAGUAUCCAUUACGGAGCCCUAAAGUUCACGGCUGCAGACAGGCCUUCACUGGAAGUCUCAAGCCAUGGAUUCGGCUCCACCUGUUUCACCAGGCAGUUCAAAGGAACUGUUGCACACGGCACAGGCGGGGCUCUU